UGAGAGUUUGAUCCUGGCUCAGGAUGAACGCUGGCGGUAUGCCUUAGGCAUGCAAGUCGAAUGGUUUUGUCGCAAGGCAAGACAAUGGCAGACGGGUGAGUAAUGAUAAGGAACGUACCCUGAAAUGAAGGAUAGCUCGCCGAAAGGCGGGGUAAUCCUGCAUAGUCUCCGACGUAAGUCGGAGUAAAGAGCUUAACUGCUCGUUUUAGGAGCGGCCUUAUUCCUAUCAGCUAGUUGGUGAGGUAACGGCUUACCAAGGCUAUGACGGGUAGGGGAUGUGAGAGCAUGACCCCCCACAAUGGCACUGAGACACGGGCCAUACACCUACGGGUGGCAGCAACUAGGAAUAGUUGUCAAUGGACGAAAGUCUGAACACGCGAUACCGCGUGAGGGAUGAAGUAUCUCGGUAUGUAAACCUCUUUUGACUAGCCGUCGAGGCUAGUAGAAUAAGCACCUACAAACUACGUGCCAGCAGUCGCGGUAAUACGUAGGGUGCAAGCGUUAUCCGGAUUUAUUGGGCGUAAAGUGUCGCGUAGGCGACUUCUUGUGUUAUACCUUAAAUGGUAAGGCUCAACCUUGCUUUUGGGUAUAAAACUAAGAAGAUAUUGAAGGAGAGAAGGGUACCUGGAACUGACGGUGUAGCAGUGAAAUGCGUUGAUAUCGUCAGGAACACCAAAGGCGAAGGCAGGGUACUGGCUCUUUCUUGACGCUGAGGCACGAAAGCUAGGGGAGCGAAGCAGAUUAGAGACCUGCGUAGUCCUAGCCCUAAACGCAUGGAUGCUAGAUACCUCAACUCAAAGCGCAGCUUUGAGAAAUUCGAAUUUUGAAUUUUCUCAAAAAGCAGCUGCUUUUUGAGUUGAGGUGUCGUAAGCUAACGCGUUAAGCAUCCCGCCUGGGGAGUACGAUCGCAAGAUUAAAACUCAAAGGAAUUGACGGGGACCCGCACAACCAGUGGAGCAUGUGGUUCAAUUCGAGACGAAGCGAAAGACCUCACCAAGAUUUGACAUGUAACUGCAUACCCAAGAAAUUGGGUAGCCUUCGAGGGUGUUACAAAGCUGCUGCAUGGCCGUCGUCAGCUCGUGCCGUGGGGUGUUGGCUUAAGUGCCAGAACGAGCGCAACCCCUAUCCAAUGUUAAAUAAUCAUUGGAGACAGUCCCGACUUUUUGUCGGGAAGGAAGGAAGGGACGACGUCAGGUCAGCACGGCGCCUAUGUCUUGGGCCACACACAUCCUACAAUGGCGAAAAACAACGAGAUGCUAGCACGCGAGUGUAAGCCAAUCUCUGAAAUUUCGCCUCAGUUCAGAUUGCAGUCUGCAACCCGACUGCAUGAAGCCGGAAUUGGUAGUAAUCGCAGAUCAGCAUGGCUGCGGUGAAUACGUUCUCGGGUCUUGUACACACCGCCCGUCAAGCCAACAAAGUUGGAGGCAGCCGAAGUCCGGCCUAGCCGGAUGAAGCUGAAUUCAGCGAUGGGGACUAAGUCGUAACAAGGUAUCCCUAGCCGAAGCUGGGGAUGGAUCACCUCCUU
rnacentral:rRNA from 1 species